rnacentral:rRNA from 1 species
UGGGGAAUAUUGCACAAUGGAGGGAACUCUGAUGCAGCGACGCCGCGUGAACGAAGAAGGCUUUCGAGUCGUAAAGUUCUUUUAUAUGGGAAGAUAAUGACGGUACCAUAAGAAAAAGCCCCGGCUAACUACGUGCCAGCAGCCGCGGUAAUACGUAGGGGGCUAGCGUUGUCCGGAAUCACUGGGCGUAAAGGGUUCGCAGGCGGAAAUGUAAGUCAGGUGUAAAAGGCAGUAGCUUAACUACUGUAAGCAUUUGAAACUGCAUAUCUUGAGAAGAGUAGAGGUAAGUGAAAUUUUUAGUGUAGCGGUGAAAUGCGUAGAUAUUAAAAAGAAUACCGGUGGCGAAGGCGACUUACUGGGCUCAUUCUGACGCUGAGGAACGAAAGCGUGGGUAGCAAACAGG